ensembl:snRNA U6 U6 spliceosomal RNA
GUGCUCACUUCGGUGGCACAUAUACUAAAAUUGGAACAACACAGAGAUGAUUCACAUGGCCCCUGCACAAGGAUGACACACAAAUAAGCAUUCCAUAUUUUU